GUAGGUGGCAAGCGUUGUCCGGAAUUAUUGGGCGUAAAGCGCGCGCAGGCGGUUCUUUAAGUCUGAUGUGAAAGCCCACGGCUCAACCGUGGAGGGUCAUUGGAAACUGGAGAACUUGAGUACAGAAGAGGAAAGCGGAAUUCCACGUGUAGCGGUGAAAUGCGCAGAGAUGUGGAGGAACACCAGUGGCGAAGGCGGCUUUCUGGUCUGUAACUGACGCUGAGGCGCGAAAGCGUGGGGGAGCAAACAGGAUUAGAUACCCUGGUAGUCCACGCCGUAAACGAUGAGUGCUAAGUGUUAGGGGGUUUUCCGCCCCUUAGUGCUGCAGCUAACGCAUUAAGCACUCCGCCUGGGAGUACGGCCGCAAGGCUG
rnacentral:rRNA from 1 species